AGUGCGCCAAUACCCAAUGAG
rnacentral:misc_RNA from 1 species